rnacentral:rRNA from 1 species
AUGGGCCCUCUUGUGGUAGACCCACAUGUCAUCGGUGUAACUAUUUACACUCCGGAGGACGGUGCCUAUAUCCUUGUAGUAGUACUAGUAGAAUUGAGAUUUAAUGCACUUUCUUCCCCGUCUUCCACUCUUCUUCCUCCUCUCUUCUUCUUCCUCCUCUCUUCCCCAUCGUCGACCGCACACCAUUUACCCCCGCUCACUGCUCGCCCGCCCGCGCCAUCUUCCUUGGUAGCUCGCACAGUUGAUAUGAGAAUAGUAGUAGUAUCCAAUUUGAAUUGUUGCAGCAGACGCAAAUGCGCUGGCCUUCAUGAUUCUGGGACCUGGAAUCAUACCAGCCGAUGGUCGAAGAAGGAUUGGCCGGUGCUGUCGGCUGGCGUCAAGUUCGAUCCCACGGAUCAGGAGUUGAUCGAGCACCUUGAGGCCAAAGUGAGUGUUAACAGCGCGAGAUUUCAGUCUCUCAUCGAUUUGUUCAUACCAACCAUCGACAGCGAGCACGGCAUAUGCUACACCCAACCUGAGAAACUUCCAGCAAAAAAGGUUCUGGUGCUGCACACCAACAAGAACUUCGACCAGCAGAGGACCAACUGGGUGAUGCACCAGUACCACAUUGGGGACCUGGAGCAAGAGAAGGAGCGGGAGCUGGUCCUCUACAAGAUUUUCUACCAGACGAACAUUAGGGCCAGGAGUAGUUUGGUAUUGGUAGUUGUACUACCUUGUCGUCCGCAAGUUGGUAUUGUUGUUAACGAUCUUUUGGUCGAGCAAGUUUCAACUGGGCUGUAG